UUUGGGGCUUGUUUGUUUAUUGUCUUUUUGAUAUGAAUUCUUGUUUUUUUUUCUUCCCCGUAUUGGUUGUCUCUAGAAAACCUUGUUCUCCCAAACACCCAAGAAGCAGCUUCUUAGCAUAACAGAACCUCCUUCUUCAGGAUGAGUACAUCUAUAAAUCCAUCAGGAAGUGUCCUGGAUGAGGAAGACAACCAAGGAUAUUAAUUGCCUUGAGGCUACAAACUUAAUCUCACUUCCUAGGGAAUAAACCUCACUGAAUUUAACAAGACUUAAUUCGGAAUAAACAUGCUUGGUUUAAGUGAUUUUCUUUGGCAAGCAUUAAAGCAUCCUUGGGCCAUUUGUAUUCCAGCCAAAAAAGAGAUUUUAAUGGGAAAAGGAAGGAAGGGCUAUAACUCAUUGACAGAGCAAAGGGUUGUGCAUGCAGAAAAGGCAAGGACAGUCCAAGACAUUUCGCGGCUUGAGACAAGAGCCCAUGUUUGUACAGGCCAAGACCAAUCAUCGCUGAUUCUUGGCUUCAAGAAGAGGACUAGGACAAAGAACUAACAGGGCCCUUCCAGAUAUGACCUGGGAUUUGGUCCUGACACCCACCCCAAACCCUGGGCUUUCUCUGAGGGCGGGGAGGCUACAUGCCCUCCCAGAUCAACCAGACCACCCCCCACACAACCUCCCAACAUGUCAUUUUGAUGCUUUCUCCAUGCCUCAGGUUAAAGGUCCAUAAGUCCAUGAAGAUUGUCAUGAUCUGCUUGAGUCCUGUGCGGGAGAUGUCAUUUUCUGCAAGGUCAGAAAGGGAAAGCAAAGAAUUAGCAGCAGGCAAGGGAACUGAGACGUCUGCCUGGAUGUCGGCCUCAACAGAUAGAUAGACUGAAGAUGACCUCAAGUGCCAGGCUGCAUCCAAACUGGAGUUUUAUAGAGAGGCUUGUGUGCUGUGUGACCAGCUUUGUGAGUCCAAAGAUCUGUUACAGGUUAAUCAUUAGUAAGUGUUGGAAGCCAUGAUAAAACAGUUAAGCUCAAGCUAAACAUGCGUCCGGCAUAUGUUUCCUUUAUCUCCAUGAGGGCUUAAUAGCUUUAGUUAUCUCAAAUGUCAUCCUGAUGGUCUCAUGUUUGUCAUCGAUUAAUUUCUGCCUCACCUUUCUCCCAAUAAACUGGCUUAUUUAGAAACAUUACAGAUGAAAAGCCUACACAAAAAGGUUUAUUUAAAAGAUCUUUAACCGAUUCUUGAAAUCCAACAUUAAAAUGUAUUGAAAGGUUGUAUAUGCACUAUUAAAACAAUACAGCACCAUAAACCCACCCUAAUUACUGUAUAUACUUGAGUAUAAGCCUAGUUUUUCAGUCCUUUUUUAGGACUGAAAAAAAACCUCCUUGGCUUAUACUCGCGUGAGGGUCCUGGUGGGCUUAUAUUCAGGUCAUCUUAUACUCAAGUAUAUAUGGUAUAUUUAUUAUUUUUCUCUAUUAUUAUUGGUAUUGUUACAUUUAUUAUUUUACUCUAUUAAUUAUUAUUAUUACAUUUAUUAUUUUACUCUAUUAUUGUUGUUACUUUUACAUUUAUUUUACUCUAUUAUUAUUAAUACAUUUAUUAUUUUA